UCUGAAAGUGACAGUUUUUUUCCUCAUAUGCUCAAUGGAAUCAACCUUGUAUUCCCCAGGGCAAAAUCCCCUCUGCACUGCUGGACAUGCAUUCAAGAAAAGUGGUUGGCAAGCAAGUUCAUAGCUCCAGCUUUCAAGGCAGGUAUUUCCUUUCAGUUAUUUCACACUAUGUAACAUGUAAGGAUUUUCCAGUAAGGAAAGAUAAUCUCUAAGGAAAUUAUUACAAUACCUUGUCUCUUCAUGUGAAGAAAUUAUUUGGCAACUUUUAUAGUUCUCUGUUGGCUCUGGGGAUGUGUGGGUGUUCUAGUUACUGCAGGUGAUGCACAGUUACCUACCUUCUAUCUACCUUGUUCACAGUUGCCUGACAGCUAUCCAAAGCUGUUGGCAGUAUUUCUGUUCCUUGGCUGCUAUGAUAAGCUGCUGUGUGUGAGGUCCUCUGCAUCAUCCUGCAGUAGAACCAGAAGGAAUAGAAGGAAUACUGGGAGGAUACUUCCAAAUCGCCCCCUCCACUCCCCCCCUCAGACACAAAAGCCAGCCAACCAAACAAGCAAGCAAAACCUAAUCCACCAAAAAAUGAAAAAUUAAAACCUAUUAAACAGAUUUAUCUGUUCUUGUCUACUCUAAUUGCAAAGUAAUAGUUGUCAUUGUUUUAAUUAAGAUGCCAUUUUUUUUCUUGAUUGCUUUAGUCUUAAUUCCAGCUUCUAGGAGAAAGCUGUCCAUUCUUGGUUCCUUGCUAUACUUCCCUAUAACAAGCUGAGUUCACAUUAUUCAAACCUCGUAAGACCUUUCCAGUAUGGAAUGAAGUCUGGAUUUCUUUGAAGUCAGUAGUAAAAUUCCUACUGACUUUCACAGGAUUUUUGCCCACAGAGAUUUCAGUAUACGCCAUCUCUUUGCUGACUUUAUUUAAGACCUCAUUAAAGUUUUAAAUCUGCUAAAGCUGUAUUUUUCUGAUUUUUCUCAUCAUUGUCCUUCCUUUCAAAAAGAAUAAAUACAUUUGCAAUGCAUCA
rnacentral:lncRNA from 1 species